CACCUAAGUAAAUUAAACUAAAAGAAACAACUGGCUCAAGUGACAACUAAAAUUUAGAUGAACCAGAUUUUUAAUGAGUUUCUCAAAUGAGCAGAGGAGUGAUACAAUCAUCAUUCAGUCCAAAUUGCUAGGCUGGGACCCAACUUCGAACCCCCAAGGCUGGUGCCUUUGAGAAGUCGCACAUGCCCACAUGAGAAAAUACAUAUAUUUAGACGAUUCUUUUGGAUUUUUUUUUUAAGUAUGAGGCAUAUUCCAUUUGGGAUUCUUCGCAGUAAUUAAGAUUUGUGGAAGGGUGAAUUUUAGAAAUAGGAGCCCUUCAAAUGUUUUGUUGGCAAUGUGGGGAAAGGAUAUUUGCAGAUGACUGUGUGAUGAAACAGAAUUACGAGCUCCUGGAGGGGAGGCCGCUCCUUCGAGAGCCGUCUAAUGCAUUAUCAUAAAGCCCUGGGGAGAGUCUUCUGGAUUGUUCCUUAACAGCAAGCACACACAAGCCAGACAAGUCGUUUGUGCAGAAAGGUCAAGGGUGUCAGGGAAUCGUCUCCAGGCGAGCAAAGCUGCACGGGGUGGCCCCUGCUCUGGCCUCACGUGGUGCCUCUGGCCGCCUUCCCAGCCGCCUGCCAAUGGGCUGACACCAGAUUCAAGGAAGAGUUCCAUUUUCUUAAUUCCAGCACCUUGGCUUCCCAUCUCCACGCUCAUGGGUAACUGAGGGCGUAAGAGGAGCUCUCAGGUUCUCUGCCUUUCCCCCUCUCCUCGGAUUCCAUCCAACCAGGGUCGUGAAGCCCCCCUGGGACGCAUGAAGUGCCGACGGCAUCUCUGAUAGAACCAUCCAGCCCAUCUGUGCUCGGACAGACUCCUGUCAUCUCUCUGGAGCCCGGCGAGGCUUUACUGUCCACCCACUUGGUCUCCGCGAGCGCAAAGUCCUCCUGGUCCUCACCGUGGAAUGGCCUCCCCGAGGCUGGGGUUCUCAGGAAGCCUACUUUCAUGGGGAAGGGGAUUGCCUCCCCAGAAUGCCCCCCCCACCCCAGGACCUGAGGCUCUGCUGCAGAUGAAAGUCUGGCCUUGUUGGCACCUGUCAGGGGCGCGUGCACGGAGCAUCUGAAGCAGAUUCAACUUGGCACACAGGUGCUUUGCUCCUAAGGAUAGUUUGAAUAUACGGGGUUUGGGAAAUUGUGCCAAAACCACAAAAUGAAUCAGCUCUCUCUGAUGAAAUCAUCUGAUCUUCUUCCUCAGGAACAUGCCAGGAGGAAGUUCUUGCAGAAGAACAUCUUCUUAGCAGACUGACAGUGGUGUUGAACAACACUCUCAUCCACUCCAUCAUCUGGUCUAAAUGCUUCUGUUCCCAUGUGACAGGACAAAACCAAGAUGUGGAAUCCUCCGCACAGAGAGAGCACGAUUUCAAAAAUUACACAUCUAAACAAGCUGUUCUGGAAGCUGGAGGUCAGAAAUCUAGGUGUCGAAAGGCCAUGUCCCGUCCGAAGGCUCAGGGAAGCCUCCUUCGCUGUCUCUCCCAGCUUCGGGCCAUUCCUGGUGAUCCCUGGGGUCCCUGGGCUCGUAGAUGCGGCCCCCGCGCCACGUCUGCCUGCAUCGUCACGUGGCCUCCUUCUCUGCGAGCUGGGCUCCUCUGUGUCUCCGUCCAAAAUUUCCCUUCCCAUAAGGACACCAGUCGCUAGGGGCCCACCCUGAUCCAGGAUAACUUCAUCUGAACUUGAUUGUGUUGACAGAGACUCGAUUGCCAAAUAAGGUCACACUCAUAAGUACCCAGGGGUUAGCGCCUGAACAGACCUUUCUGGGGGAUACAGUUCAACCACCCACAGCAAAAGGACAAGCAUAGAAUUAAAAGGUGGACAGAUUGGGAGCCUCCGUAGCAGCUGGGGCUUCAGCUCGUGGCCCUUCCUGAUUCACUGAGGGGGCCGCCGCUUUGCUCUCACGUGGGGUCGUGAGCCAUGCGCAGACAUGGUGGGGGACAGGUGUCCUGACCGGUUAGCAGUGUGUCCAGACGUGCUGUGGACAUGGGAGAGGGGAUGGCAGCCUGUGUGCAGCUGACCUGCCAACCUGGUGCAUUGUUUCUUGGCUAAGCUAUUCACUUACGAGUGUUACACACCGUAUUCAUGAAGUGAACCAGGAUCUCAAUCCCCAUAUUCCAAGCCAAGCUCUUGACUUAAAUCUGAUUUUACCCCAGCUCCCAACAAAGAGUCGUGAUGUUGUGCAAACGAUGACUCACCUAGCCAGUGCCCCCGGGAUUCGUAGGGCCAUGGAGAGGCAUCCAUAGAAAGAGCAAUUUUCAAAACAAGAUGUGUGCUUUCUGAAAUCACAUCAUAAAUCCUUGACCGGGAUGCUAAGAAAUUUAAAAGUUUCAGGGAAGGGAAAACAGAAUUGUCUUUCCUUUACUCUUACACAUUACCUUAUGCUCCAUGGUUAAUAAGAAGCCCUGACAAAGGAAGAAAUGUUAUGUCACUUGUCCCUUAAUUUUGUGAGUCUUGUUCAUAGAUUUCACCUCCAAUCAUGCGAAUAUAAGAUGAAACUUCUAGAAUAUCAGGGUCAUUGUAUUUGUCUGCUCAGCCUGUUGUCACAAGGUGCCACAGACGUGGGGGGUGACACCACAGAAAUGUAUUUGUGGCACUUCUGGGGGCUGGAAGUGCGCAAGGUCAGGCUGGGAGGAUGGAUUUCUUCUGUGGCCUUUCCCCUUGGUGGUCUUCUCGUUGCACCCUCGCGUGCUCUUUGCUGCGUGCGUGCGUCCACGAAUGUCUCUUCCUCCUUAUAAAGGAUGCCAGGCCCAUUGCAUCCGGGCCCCAGCAUUAUGACUUCAUGUGACCUUAAUUAUCUCUUUGAAGGCCCUGUCUCCAAAGAGCAGUGCAUUCUGACGUCCUGAGCGUUAGAGCUUCUAUCCAGGGAUUUGAGGGGGACACAGUUCAGCUCAUAACAGUUUCAGAGGACCUUGCAGACAAAACUAGGCAGCUACUCUUUUCUAGAAGACUGUGCAUUUUGCAAUUAGUUGAGUGAAGCAAGUCUCUGGUAGCAGAUUGAAAUUUUCUGUUUCAGGGGCUUAACAGAUCGGAGGUUGCUUUCUCCUUAUGUCACCUGGUCAGUGAGGGUUAAUGGGAGGUCACUUGAGACCCUGGCUGAUGGAGUCUUCCAGAGUGGUGUCUGCACCUUAGGGAACGUGAGUCCCCGUGUGGCCGUGGCAAGGACAGCACGUAGACAAGUCAUGCUCACAUGUCCCCUGGACGUGACACAUGGCUCUUCUGGCCACUUAGCCCCAGGGCCUGGGAAAUGUGGGGAAGUACGAUCACUGAACACAGGCCCCUGUGCUACAGCCUGAUAGGGCAGGAGAAUCUAAACCUUUGCUCUAGGUCAUGAUGAACCCAAGUCAUAUUUUGCUCUCUAUAACCUGUCUGUGGUGGGAGGGAUAAAAAAAAAUGAAUGAAACAUAAAAAGAAAAAUAUUUGUGUGUUAAAAACUCCCAAAGUGUUGUCAUAGUGCAUUUUAUUCUGUGAUUUGUCUUCCCAACAGCACUGAAUAAAAGGCUCCCUUGUGAGCUACCCAGGAUAUAGCAACAAGACUCAACUCCAGACUUCAAGGAGCUCUCAGUCUAGAGUUAAGAAAGCCAAGAAUGUGGCCAGAACUAUCCAGAUGAAUGUAGAAGUCACUCUAGGUAGAGGGAAGCUGCUGAUGGCUUUCUGGGAAGACGUCUGGGUAGAUGCCUAACACUUGUGGGCAGGAAAUUCCAAGGGUUUGGGGAGCUGUGAGCCAGGAAUCUGCGGGAAGACCAAGAUAUGUAUUUAUUAUAAAUCAUAACAAGACAGUACGUGUGAGAGUGAGACCGAGUGUGUCUGCGUGUGCUGGUGUGGGUGUCCCCUACUCCGGGCCCUGUGGAGCUGGACCCCUCCUUCCACCCCUGCACGUCCAUCCGCACCUGCAUGGCCAUCCUGGGCUCCUGGGCCAUCUAUGAAGGUGAGAGGAAACAAGAGGGCAAGUGCAGGGGGAUCAGGAUUCCAGACAUGACUUCAGUAGAGUUGCAGCUGAUUGGUUUCAUCUCUGUCUCCACCCCACACCUCCCUCUCUCUUCCUCUAACUCCCUUAAAAACACCGUAUUGAGGUAAAUUGAAACAGAAUUGUGUAAUUGUUUUUUUGGGUUCCUUCUGAGGUUAAGCCAGAUGUAGUAGUUGUUGGGACUCAUCUUCCUAAAUUAAAAGAGCAUCUGAGGAAAUAGAAUCCUUAUAUGACUCUGUCCUACCUCGUAACAGCUACACAGAGAAUAAACCCACUGUUGUUCAUUUGUUCCUUCUAGCUCUAAAAACUGAAUUCCAGAUUUCGGAAUAGCUAAUACAAUUAUUUAAGUAAUGAGGUAAAAACAUAUAAACACACAAAACCCCAGCUGGGCCCAGGAUUCCUCUUAAGGAACUACUUUCCUUGAAGGGUUAUAUGAGGAUUAAACGAAUAGAGGAUGUGAAAUAAUGCCCAUAUGGCCAGUCUGUAUUUGGUGUGGGCUGUUGUUUGGGGAGCUUGCCCCACAUAGCCAGAAGAGGAGGGGGGACGUGAGCAAGAGGAAGAGAAUGAGUGAGGGGGGGAAGGCAGGUCUGGAAGGGAGGCAAGAGGACGUCAUGGGUUUGGGGUAACCCAGCAACAUUCUAGAAAACCGGCGUAAGCAGUUCAUCUGGACUUCGGUGUGUUGAAAUCAUUAAAUUCUGUCCCCUGUUUCUCAUUUUCCACCCAAUUGUUGUGAACAUUGGUAAAAACCAGGCUAGGCCUCCAGAUACUUUGGGUGAAUGGUUUUCUUGAUUUGUGUCACCUGUUCAGUGAUGUAGGAAUCGGGGUACGUAUUUAUAAAGGAAGAGCUGAUUAUAUUAUGUAUUAUAAAGGAAGAACUGUGCAGUUUUGAGGAGGACUUUGAACUUCCACAGACCAUGGCAUUGGACGUCAUCCAUUAUUCCUGGAUCUCAUGGCAUCGUGUUUGGAUUACACUUCUGUGCCCAUACACCAGUGCAGAUCGAAGGCCGCGUUAGGGGUUGCCAGCAGGAAAAUGGGUUCCAGGGAUAACAAGGUGAGUGGAUGUGACACACUGAUGCGCGCUGGAAAUGGAACUGGGCGAGUUCACAUGCGCGAGGAGGUGGACAGAUGAUCACCCUUCACUUUUCCGCUGAGCCAAGAAGAGCCAAGUCGUCCUAAGCAAACGCUAAGCAGGUUGCCCAUGUGGUGAGACCUUGCCCGGAGGACCAGGCACUGCAGAGCCACUGCCCCAUGCAAAAGGGUUGGGAGUUGGUUGGUGUAAGGGGAGGCUCACCUGUUCUAGAAGGAGGUUCCACCCAAUUCUAGAACAGGGCUAACAUGUCUACCCCCAUGUCCCUCUCCUUUUAAUUCCAAGUUUUACAAAGACACCAAAACAAUUUCAUGGUGACUGAUUCACUAAGAAAGGGACUACACACACACACACACACACACACACACACACAUUUUUGCUUAUAUACAUAUAUAUGUAUUUGCUUAUGUGUUAUACGUACUAUAUACACUCGCCUCUUGUUCUCUCAGACUGGACUUCCCAUUGUUGUUCACUUGCCUGUUGUCUGCUUCCACCUUCAGGAUAUAAUUGCUAUUUCUAGAAGAGACCUUGUGUAUUGUGUUCACUACUGAAGCUCCAGGGCAUACGCUAUAAACCGAAUAUUUGUGUCCCUCCAAAAUUCACACCUGGAAAUCUGGUAUUUGAAGUUGGGAACUUCAGGAGACGAUUUGGUCAGGAGGUCAGAGCCCUCAAGAAUGGGACCAGAGGCCCUCAUAAAAGGGACCCCAGAAAGCUCCCUUGCCCUUCCUCCCGUGUGAGGACACAGGGAGAAGGCAGCUGUCUGUGAACCAGGCAGUAGAACCUCACCACACACCUGAUCAACUGGUGCCUUGAUCUCGGACUUCCAGCCUCCUGAACCAUGAGAAAUAAAUUUCUAUUGUCUACGAGCCACCGGUUGAUAGCACUUCUGUUAGAGCAGCCCCAGAACCAACUAAGACAACACAGAACAAUGCCCGGCACCCAGCAGGGAAUCAAUAUGUACUUGUUGACUAAGUAAAUGGAUGAAGGGAUGACAGUUCUGGGGUUGACUUGGGUCCCACCACGACUGUGGUUACACAUGGGGGCACUUUGUGGAGCAUA